rnacentral:piRNA from 1 species
UAGCAAAAUGGUAAGUGCUCUUAAGGCUA